GAAGCAAUCCCUCCGGAUCCACCUGUUGCAAAUCGCGGAUGACGCGAAACCCUUUAAGGGCGUCACGUGACCCCGUUCCCCGUUCCUCGGGGGGGGGGGGGGGGACCAGGGCCGUGGCUCUGCUCUACCGAUCGCGAGCCCGGCCGUCUUCCGAAACCGUUUCGGCUCGUGUUUGUUGCACCUCGAUUCGGAAGCCUCGAUUAGUCUAUUCGGAGUUAUCGCGUUCGCCGAACCCUCCGCAGCGGUUUAAUUCGUUAAAGUCGACCGUUUAUUGGUGCAUUCCGACUCAAGUCGCACGUCGAAAAGCUUAUUGUUGAUCGUCCGUUCCGCGCGGUGACGCACAGCAUUCCUUAUCACUCGUUUCACACGCCAUCUCCAGCGCAAGUAAACAGAAAGUGCGUUUUCUAUAAAACCGCAGGUUUGAUUUUGAUGCCGGUAUUUGUGAAAAAUUCACCGCGUGAAAGUCAUCGGAGCCUAGAAUUUUUAAACGGGAAGUUGAUCGACGCCGUAAUUUUGAACCGAAAAGUAAAUCCUCUCUUAUACGUAGCCGGUUUUUUCCUCGUUUACCGAAUUUGUGAAAAAUCGUGACAAGUUUUCAAAUUAUUCUGCAAAAAAUCGCAAUUCUUUCGGUGCCAACAACCAAAAAGAUUGCUCCCUAGACAGAAAGAUAGUGAUCUAGCCAACAUGCGUUACAGUUCACUGUAAAACUGAAGAUUACAGUUCACUGUAAAACUUAAGAUUACAGUUCAAAACUCUUUGUGUACAAUUGGUUUAACUAGUAAACUACUAAAGAUUGCUGUCCCUUGAAAUCAGUUGCAGUCGUUCGUUAAGUUGUUUUCUUCUUCUUUUUUCGGUGUUAAAUCGUGAGAAGUUACCGGUAAAUUUUUAAGUAUCUUCUUGAAGAUUUCCACUCCUGCUAGUAUCUGUUUCGUCUAUCACAAGCGAGGAAGAAGUGUUUUUCUAAGUUGCCAGAUUUUCAGUGGUUCGUGACCUGCCACAACAAGCCGAAUUCAGCCGUCGAAAGUUCGCCUGGCCCCAGCACUUCACGUAAGCAAUCUUCUAAAGCGGGUAUCGGACCAGUAACUGAACGAGGCCUUUGAAUAAUUAAGCUCCUUCCACUGCAUUGAUUCGGGUUUAUUCAGUCGAACAGAAUCGGGAUGACAUGACGUCAAGUGCACGUUCCUCUACCACGGAGUUUUCAAGGAAUCGCCGCUCGUUAAGCACGUCAUCCACCUCUUACGCCGAUACUGAGCUCACGUGUGCGUCAUCGUAAGCGACGCAAAAGCCGCCGCAUAGUUAUAAAUCCGCCGAAAUCUCUCGUCUUGGCAUUCUCCGUUGUGUCGAGUUGUGUCUAGUCCGCGGUAAUUUUGCGCAUGAAUGAAGUUCAGGCUGCCGACUGUUAUUCAGAAUUCUAGAUCAGUGAGGCAUACGCAACAUUUUCCUUCGUCUCAUCGGCUGACCGCAUCAAAGCCAGCGAAUUUGCACUCGAAUCCUGGUUUUUUUUUGAAGUUUUGCAGCGUCAUCACAGAGCGGUGUUGAACGCAUGAACUUUGGAGGCGACAGAUCUUCGCGGAAUUUGAAUUUCCCGCAAUUCACGGACCGCGAGUGGUCGCAUUCCAGAAACGAACUUCUUGGCGUCAGAUCAAAUCGAAACCAGUAAACUUUGACAAAUUUUAUUUUCCACCGCUCUUAAACCAGAAGUGAUUGUAGUUCCAGAAAGGAACCUCUGAACAUCAAGCCGAAUCGAAGGGACGGUCACCAAAUUUUGAAUUUCAACUCUUCGCGACUCUUCAACCGGAAGUGAUUAUCAUUUCGGAAACGAAGCUCUCAGCCGCGAAUCAAACCAAAGGCAGUAAACUUUCGCAAAUUUCAUAAUCCCCGCGACUCACAAAUCGGAAGUGCGUCAUCCCGGAAAUCGAUCCUAGAUUCUGAGCUCCUCGUCCACAAGUGACCGCGGUUCCGGAAUGGAGUACCUCUUCCCACCAGGAUCCUCCGGGGCCAGCUGUAUUCGGCGCCUGUCGCAAGAGCUGUCGUUGUCGGCGGGGGCGGGUCUAGCCUGUCUGACGGUGCCCUCCGGGGCGACCCCCACCUCCUCGAUGUCCUCCGGAUAUCCGGCCUCCGAGUGCGACACCGAGAGCUUCUUCAUCGGCGACUCCUCUGACGAGGGCGGGUGGGGCGACACCAGGAUCCUUCCGCACAGGUAUUGUUCUUUUCAAGUCCAUUAGUUCUAUAUGUAGAUUGGGCUAAAGGGGCAGAUACACCUGCGAGCUAGACGCGCGUCUUGAGCGGCGAGUUUGCCUUCGGCCGUGUUCGGCAAUCUUCGUAGCCAAUCAGGUCGCAACUCGUCACUCGUAACUCGCUCGAAGUAUGAUCGGAUCCUACUUUUCGGGACAGAAAGCGCGUGUAGCGCGCAGGUGUAUCUGGCUCCUAAGGAGGAAGCAGUAAUGUCUACCAAGCGUGU
rnacentral:lncRNA from 1 species